UAAUCUAUUUCUUGCUAGUAGGUUGUAAUUAUCAAAUUCUUAUAUGUUUGAUUGGUAAUAGCUAUUAAUUAUCGAAAUCUUAUCUAGUUUGGCAUUUCAAUUUGCACAGGUACUCAAAAUAAAUGUAUAUGGGAUGCUGGACAUGUGGGAGUGGAAGACCUUUUGGAGUUUUGGUAGAUGCUAGCAGCAUGUGAUGGAUGGAUGAUUGAUCAUCAACAAUUGAACAUUGAUGCCGCAGCUGCAACUUAUGCUUAAUUUCCUAUCUCUCUAUGAAUUGUGGUCUCUGCCCUUUAAUGUAAUGCGAACCUUGGAAUAUUAUGCUGCAUGAAUUUUCGACUGUUAAGCUACCUACAAUGUGAUAAUGGACUUUUAUGUGGAUUUUUAAGUACUUCUGGUUUCUGUACAUGUUUUUGUCACAAGUGUGAAUAUUGUGGUCAUGCUGCCUUGCUGUUGUGACAAGGAAAUUGCAUCUGUUUGGUGAUGUAUAUGUUUAAUAUAUACAUACUAAUUUUUAUCAUAAUGUAGGUUUUAUGGGCAUUUAUUUAACGAGCUUAACAAGCUAAACGAGCCAGCUCGCGAGUUAUACGAGUCAAGCCAAUCUUGGAUUUGAACUCGUUAUAGUAACGAGUCGAGUCGAGCUAGCUCGUUAACAAAACGAGCUUUAGCGAGUCGAGUCGAGCUGGCUCGACUCGGCUCGAAUUCCAGCCCUAACGGACGUGAUGCCUAUAUACAUGAUCAUGCCUAGAUAAUCUCAUAAUUAUUCGAUUUUCUAUAAAUUGAUCGACAUUAAUUUGUUCACCCACCGUAAUACUUAUGCUAUCUUGAGAGAAGCCACUAGUGAAACCUAUGGCCCCCGGGUCUAUCUUUUAUCAUAUAAGCUUUCAAUCUACUUUUAUUUGCAAUUUUACUUUUUGCAUCUAUAUUAUGAAUACCAAAAAUAUAUUUAUCUUAUCAUACUAUCUCUAUCAGAUCUCACUUUCGCAAGUGGCCGUGAAGGGAUUGACAACCCCUUUAUUGUGUUUAUUGCGAGUUCUUUGUUUGUUUGUGUAGGUGCAUGGGACUUUUGAGGAGCCUCCUACUGGAUUGAUACCUUGGUUCUCAAAAACUGAUGGAAAUACUUACGCUACUAUUGCUGCAUCACCCUUUCCUCUUUAAGGAAAACCAACGCAAGCUCAAGACGUAGCGAGAAGGAUUUCUGGCGCCAUUUCUGGGGAGGUCUUUGCUCAAGUCAAGACAUACCAAGUACCCAUCACAAACUCAUAUCCCUCGCAUUAUUUACAUUAUUUGCCAUUUGCCUCUCGUUUUCCUCUCCCCCACUUCACCCUUGCCGUUUUAUUUGCCCUCUCUUUCCCAAUCUCUCCCUCUUUUUCGCUUGCCUUUUUCUGUUUGCUCGUGUGUUAGAUCGUUUACCUUGUCGCUAUGGCUAGUCCUCCUAUCCUUGUUAUCACUCCCGUAUAUGAAAUUCUUAAUUUUAAGCAAAGGGAGGGAGAAAAUUUAAAAGAUGCUUGGCAUAGAAUUUGCAAUGCUCAAAAUAGAUCUACUAGGAAGCUUUCUACUUCCGUUCUUCUUCGCAAUUUUUAUGUAGGCAUUACUCCUUGGAAUGGAUGCGUUCUUGAUACCGUUACCGGAGGGGAUUUCUUGAGUAGCCAUACGUUUGAUGCUUAUAAUGCUAUGUUAGAUUUGUUUGGCCCACCACCUCUUUUGGUUAAUGGAACAGUUUUAACUUUAGAACAUGUGAUGCAACGACUUGAUAUUAUUGAAAAUAAAGUUGCUACUGUUGAGUGGAUUGAAAAUUUGGAUAAAGAGAUUCAUAAUCACAUUACCCAAUAUGGAUCUAGGGUUGUAGUUACUUUGAAAAAUCUUAAAGAGAAAGAACCUAUAGUUAAUGAAAAAAUAGAUCUAGAUUCUGCAAGAAUCGGUAAACCUGAAGAUAUCAUUACCAACUUAGGUUCCGCGUUUUCUUCCAUGAAAAACACUCCAAAACCUCCUACCAAAACUGCCAAGUUUAUUUAUGUUCCUAAAAAUAAGGGUGAAUCUUCUAGUAAGGGAGACGCGGAUCUCAAAUUCAUAAGUGUUCAUCCCAAUUGUCUCUCUAUCGUUAAGGAACAUUUUGCUACAAACAAAUUUCUUGAAUUUUUGCCUAAAGGUUUAAUCAUUUCUAAAAUGGGAGAAACUCCUAAAAAUUAUAAGUGCUCUAUUGAGGAAUUGAGUGCCAAAGAUGGCACUACUUAGAUCUAUCUUCGCUUUUAUGCCUAGCUAGGGGCGUUAAACGAUAGCGCUAGUUGGGAGGCAACCCAAUUUUAUUUGUGUUUUUUGUUUUUGUUUCUGUUCAGUAAUAAAUUUUGCAUCUACCUUCUGUUUAGAUGUAUUUUUAUGUUUUAAUUAGUGUUUGUGCCAAGUAGAACCUAUAGGAUAACCUAUGAUGAUAGUUAAUUUGAUUCUGCUGAAAAACAGAAACUUUGCAUGCACGAAAUUAGUUUUGUUAAAUCACAGAAACGAGCUUUUGGGUUGAUUCUUCUUGCUGCUGAUCAAUACACAAAAUGUCCAGGACUUCCUAUUUUAGUAGGAUUUGUAGAGUUCUAUAAGUUUGCGUUAGUUACAGAUUGCUACAGACUAUUUUGGUUUUGACAGAUUCUGCUUUUCGUGUGUUGUUUGCUUAUUUUGAUGCAUCUAUGAUUAGUAAAAUAGUUUACAAACCAUAGAGAAGUUGGAAUACAGUAGGUUUAACACCAAAAUAAAUAAAGAAUGAGUUCAUUACAGUACCUUAUGUGGUGCUUUUGUUUUCUUUCACUAACAGAGCUUAUGAGAUUUCCUGUUGAGUUUUGUGUUGUGAAGUUUUCAAGUUUUGGGUAAAGAUUUGAUGGACUAUGGAAUAAGGAGUGGCAACAGCCUAAGCUUGGGGAUGCCCAUGGCACCCCAAGAUAUUCAAGAAUAGACAAAAGCCUAAGCUUGGGGAUGCCCCGGGAAGGCAUCCCCUCUUUCGUCUUCGUUCAUUGGUAACUUUACUUGUAGCUAUAUUUUUAUUCGCCACAUGAUAUGUGUUUUGCUUGGAGUGUCAUGUAUUAUAUUAGUCUUUGCUUUUUAGUUUACCACAAUCAUCCUUGCUGUACACACCUUUUGGGAGAAGCCUACUUGAUUGAAAUUUAUUAGAAUACUCUAUGUGCUUCACUUAUAUCUUUGAGCUUGAUAGUUUUUGCUGUAGUGCUUCACUUAUAUCUUUUAGUGCACGGCGGUGGAUUAAUUUUGUAGAAAUUGCUAGUCUCUCAUGCUUCACUUAUAUUAUUUUGAGAGUAUUUUAGAACAGCAUGGUAUUUGCUAUGGUUACAAAAUUGGUCCUAGAAUGGUAGGCAUCCAAGUUGGGUAUAAUAAAAACUAUCAUAGGAAGUGAAUUGGAUGCUAUGAUCAAUUUGAUACUUGAUAAUUGUUUUGAGAUAUGGACGUAGUGAUAUUAAAGUCAUGCUAGUUGGGUGAUUAUGAAUUUAAAGAAUGCUUGUGUUGAAGUUAGCAAGUCCCGUGACAUGCACGUAUGGUUAAAGUUGUGUAACAAAUUUGAAACAUGAAGUGUACCUGGCUUGUGCAUCCUUAUGAGUGGCGGUCGGGGACGAGCGAUGGUCUUUUCCUACCAAUCUAUCCCUCUAGGAGCAUGUGCAUAGUGCUUGGUUUUUGAUGACUUCUAAAUUUUUGCAAUAAGUAUAUGAGUUCUUUUGACUAAUGUUGAGUCCAUGGAUUAUGCGCACUUUUACCCUUCCAUCAUUGCUAGCGUCUUCGGUACCGUGCAUUGCCCUUUCUCACCUUGAGAGUUGGUGCAAACUUCGCCGGUGCAUCCAAACCCCGUGAUACGAUACGCUCUAUCACACGUAAACCUCCUUAUAUCCUACUCAAAAUAGCCACCAUACCUACCUAUUAUGGCAUUUCCAUAGCCAUUCCGAGAUACAUUGCCAUGCAACUUUUCACCGUUCCGUUCAUCAUCAUGACAUACAUUACUUUUGUCAUAUUGCCAUUGCAUGAUCAUGUAGUUGACAUCGUAUUUGUGGCAAAACCACCAUGCAUAAUUUUUCAUACAUGUCACUCUUGAUUCAUUGCACCAUCCCGGUACACCGCCGGAGGCAUUCAUAUAGAGUCAUAUCUUGUUCUAGUUUCGAGUUGUAAUUCAUAUGUUGUAAUCAAUAGAAGUGUGAUGAUCAUCAUUAUUAGAACAUUGUGCCCAAAGAAAAAACAAAGAAAAAAAAAA
rnacentral:lncRNA from 1 species